rnacentral:rRNA from 1 species
CCAGACUCCUACGGGAGGCAGCAGUGGGGGAUAUUGCACAAUGGGGGGAACCCUGAUGCAGCGACGCCGCGUGGGUGAAGGAGUGCUUCGGCAUGUAAAGCCCUAUCGGCAGGGAAGAAGCAAGACGGUACCUGACUAAGAAGCCCCGGCUAACUACGUGCCAGCAGCCGCGGUAAUACGUAGGGGGCAAGCGUUAUCCGGAUUUACUGGGUGUAAAGGGAGCGUAGACGGCAGUGCAAGUCCGGAGUGAAAGCCCGGGGCUCAACCCUGGGACUGCUCUGGAAACUGUAAAGCUGGAGUGCGGGAGGGGCAGGCGGAAUUCCUGGUGUAGCGGUGAAAUGCGUAGAUAUCAGGAGGAACACCGGCGGCGAAGGCGGCCUGCUGGACCGUAACUGACGUUGAGGCUCGAAAGCGUGGGGAGCAAACAGGAUUAGAUACCCGGGUA